GACAGGGUGGCUUAGUGGUUAGAAUUGCAAACUCACACUGCUGGGGGUGGGGUUUCGAAUCCCACCCUCGCCC